UGCUGGUGUUUUACCACAGCGUGGCCCACCCGUUCCCAUUCCGAACACGGAAGUGAAAGCGCUAUGGCCUGAUGAUAGUCUUCGGGCGAAAGUAGGGUAUGCCGGCAA
rnacentral:rRNA from 2 species